CUCGAACGCCGUAGCAAUACGGAGUGGCAGACGGGUGAGUAACGCGUGGGAACAUACCCUUCGGUUCGGAAUAACUCAGGGAAACUUGGGCUAAUACCGGAUACGUCCGCGAGGAGAAAGAUUUAUCGCCGAAGGAUUGGCCCGCGUCUGAUUAGCUUGUUGGUGAGGUAAUGGCUCACCAAGGCGACGAUCAGUAGCUGGUCUGAGAGGAUGAUCAGCCACAUUGGGACUGAGACACGGCCCAAACUCCUACGGGAGGCAGCAGUGGGGAAUAUUGGACAAUGGGCGCAAGCCUGAUCCAGCCAUGCCGCGUGAGUGAUGAAGGCCCUAGGGUUGUAAAGCUCUUUUACCCGGGAAGAUAAUGACGGUACCGGGAGAAUAAGCCCCGGCUAACUUCGUGCCAGCAGCCGCGGUAAUACGAAGGGGGCUAGCGUUGUUCGGAAUCACUGGGCGUAAAGCGCACGUAGGCGGAUCUUUAAGUCAGGGGUGAAAUCCCGGGGCUCAACCUCGGAACUGCCUUUGAUACUGGGGAUCUCGAGUCCGGGAGAGGUGAGUGGAACUGCGAGUGUAGAGGUGAAAUUCGUAGAUAUUCGCAAGAACACCAGUGGCGAAGGCGGCUCACUGGCCCGGUACUGACGCUGAGGUGCGAAAGCGUGGGGAGC
rnacentral:rRNA from 1 species